UACAGAGGUCUCAAGCGUUGUUCGGAUUCAUUGGGCGUAAAGGGUGCGUAGGCGGCGCGGUAAGUCGGGUGUGAAAUCUCGGAGCUUAACUCCGAAACUGCAUUCGAUACUGCCGUGCUUGAGGACUGGAGAGGAGACUGGAAUUUACGGUGUAGCGGUGAAAUGCGUAGAUAUCGUAAGGAAGACCAGUGGCGAAGGCGGGUCUCUGGACAGUUCCUGACGCUGAGCACGAAGGCCAGGGGAGCAAACGG
rnacentral:rRNA from 1 species